GAUGAACGCUGGCGGCGUGCUUAACACAUGCAAGUCGAACGGUGAAAGGGAGCUUGCUCUCUGGAUCAGUGGCGAACGGGUGAGUAACACGUGAGCAAUCUGCCCCUGACUCUGGGAUAAGCGCUGGAAACGGCGUCUAAUACCGGAUACGAGCUGCGAAGGCAUCUUCAGCAGCUGGAAAGAACUUCGGUCAGGGAUGAGCUCGCGGCCUAUCAGCUAGUUGGUGAGGUAACGGCUCGCCAAGGCGUCGACGGGUAGCCGGCCUGAGAGGGUGACCGGCCACACUGGGACUGAGACACGGCCCAGACUCCUACGGGAGGCAGCAGUGGGGAAUAUUGCACAAUGGGCGAAAGCCUGAUGCAGCAACGCCGCGUGAGGGACGACGGCCUUCGGGUUGUAAACCUCUUUUAGCAGGGAAGAAGCGAAAGUGACGGUACCUGCAGAAAAAGCACCGGCUAACUACGUG
rnacentral:rRNA from 1 species